rnacentral:rRNA from 1 species
GACAGAGGGUGCAAACGUUGUUCGGAAUUACUGGGCGUAAAGCGCGUGUAGGCUGCUCGGCAAGUCGGAUGUGAAAGCCCUGGGCUCAACCCAGGAAGUGCAUUCGAAACUGCCGAGCUGGAGUCCUGGAGAGGAAGGCGGAAUUCUCGGUGUAGAGGUGAAAUUCGUAGAUAUCGAGAGGAACACCGGUGGCGAAGGCGGCCUUCUGGACAGUGACUGACGCUGAGACGCGAAAGCGUGGGGAGCAAACAGGAUUAGAUACCCCCGUAGUCC